ensembl:Y_RNA Y_RNA Y RNA
GGCUGGUCUGGAGGUUGUGAGUUAUCUCCAUCGAUUGUUCACGGUCAGUUACACAUUGAACUCCUUGUUCUACUUUCCCCCCUUCUCUCUACUACACUUGACUAGUCUUUA